rnacentral:rRNA from 1 species
GAUGAACGCUGGCGGCGUGCCUAAUACAUGCAAGUCGAGCGAACGGACGAGAAGCUUUCUUCUCUGCGGUUAGCGGCGGACGGGCGAGUAACACGUGGAUAACCUACCUAUAAGUCUGGGAUAACUUCGGGAAACCGGAGCUAAUACCGGCUAAUAUUUUGAACCGCAUGGUUCAAAAGUUAUAGACGGUCUUGCUGUCACUUAUAGAUGGAUCCGCGCUGCAUUAGCUAGUUGGUAAGGUAACGGCUUACCAAGGCAACGAUGCGUAGCCGACCUGAGAGGGUGAUCGGCCACACUGGAACUGAGACACGGUCCAGACUCCUACGGGAGGCAGCAGUAGGGAAUCUUCCGCAAUGGGCGAAAGCCUGACGGAGCAACGCCGCGUGAGUGAUGAAGGUCUUCGGAUCGUAAAACUCUGUUAUUAGGGAAGAACAUAUGUGUAAGUAACUGUGCACAUCUUGACGGUACCUAAUCAGAAAGCCACGGCUAACUACGUG